AUUGAACGCUGGCGGCAUGCCUUACACAUGCAAGUCGAACGGUAACAGGUCUUCGGAUGCUGACGAGUGGCGAACGGGUGGGUAAUACAUCGGAACGUGCCUAGCCGUGGGGGAUAACUACUCGAAAGAGUGGCUAAUACCGCAUGAGAUCUACGGAUGAAAGCAGGGGAUCGCAAGACCUUGUGCUACUAGAGCGGCCGAUGGCAGAUUAGGUAGUUGGUGGGAUAAAAGCUUACCAAGACGACGAUCUGUAGCUGGUCUGAGAGGACGAUCAGCCACACUGGGACUGAGACACGGCCCAGACUCCUACGGGAGGCAGCAGUGGGGAAUUUUGGACAAUGGGCGCAAGCCUGAUCCAGCAAUGCCGCGUGCAGGAUGAAGGCCUUCGGGUUGUAAACUGCUUUUGUACGGAACGAAAAGCCCCGGGUUAAUACCCUGGGGUCAUGACGGUACCGUAAGAAUAAGCACCGGCUAACUACGUGCCAGCCGCCGCCGUAA
rnacentral:rRNA from 1 species